rnacentral:lncRNA from 1 species
CUGUCACCCAGGCUGGACUGCAGUGGCGCGAUCUUGGCUCACUGCAACCUCCGCCUCCUGGAUUCAAGCGAUUCUUCUGCCUCAGCCUCCCGAGUAGCUAGGAUUACAGGCAUGUGUCACCACGCCCGGCUAAUUUUGUAUUUUUAGUAGAGACGGGGUUUCUCCGUGUUGGUCAGGCUGGUCUCGAACUCCUGACCUCAGGUGAUCUGCCCGCCUCGGCCUCCCAAAGUGCUGAGAUUACAGACGUGAGCCACCGUGCCUGGCGGAAUUUUCAUAUUUUAAGUCCCCCACCCUUGGACAUUUAGAUUUUUUCCAUCUUUCUGUAUUUGCAGAUAUGCUUCUACGUACACCUUUAUUCAUUUGCUUGAACAUUUCCCUGAGAAAAACUAGAAAUGGAAUUGCCAGAUUACUUUGUGUACAUGUUUCCAAACUGUCCUCCAGAAAGAAUGUAAUGCUUUGAACUUCCACUUGAGAAUCAAAUGUUUACCUUCCUCUGUUCCUCCAGAUUUGGACAUUUACAGUGUUCAGCCGUUGUUGUGGCAUUCCAAUUCAAUUGGGAAACAGCUUGAUGUAGCGUCCCCAUAAGGUCCACAGUAAUUAAAUUUUUUUUUUUUUUUUUUGGUGCGGUAGUGCAAUUUCAUGGCUCACUGCAACCUCCACCUCCCAGGUUCAAGCGAUCCUCCCAUCUCAGCCUCCCUAGUAGCUGGGAUUACAGGUGCACGCCACCACACCAGGCUAAUUUUUGUAUUUUUAGUAGAGAUGGGGUUUCACCAGGUUAGCCAGGCUGGUCUUGAACUCCAGACCUCAAGGGAUCCGCCUGCCUCAGCUUUCCAAAGUGCUGGGAUUACAGGUGGAGACUGGACCUCAGAAGAGGGAGUGGGUGCCCCGAGAACUCACAGCUAGCGGACAGUGGAAAGGGCAGGAGCCGGACCAAGGUGAGGACAGUGGAACUGAAGGCCGCUGGUUACCUCUCCUGCCCUCCGCUGGCCACAGUGGAGAAGACAGCCCCUCCCUCCUGCUCUGACCUGACAGUGUUCAUCCAUCGCCCUGUAUUAGCGAAGAACAACAUCAAGCUGGCUAGCAAGGAACUGUAUACAGGGUCCAGCUGGGUAUCACACUGGAUCUCACCCAAAGCUUAGAUGUGAUCCAGCUCAGUAUCACAAAGCAGAACGAAAAGGAUGUGUUUGGGCUGAGAGGCCAUACAUUGGCUCCGGCAUGACGGGUGACUUCUUCCGAGUCUGGCUUCUGCAGCACACAGGGCUUCGCCAGCACCCAGCUCCUGCAGCAUGGGCAGCUCCUGUGACAGCAGGCGCCCGCAGCCUGCAAAGCGUCUCCAGUGCCGCCGCCUCAGUGAACCUCAACCAGCGGCACCUAGCAGCUUUCUCUGCCACCCUCUUCAGGUAGUUCUGUAGCAGCGCGUUUCUCAUGAGACACUUCCCUGUGAGCAGCUUUUUCUACCCUUGAGGAUGGAUUUCCAGCAAAUUCUGCCCAUGUGGUACCACAGCCACUUCUCUGCCAUUCAGUGAAACUGCCGUUGUGCCCUCUUCAAGGUCUGGAUCUAAGCCCAGGGACCAGGAAACCUCUUGCUUGAGUGCUGGAACUCAGGCCAGAAGGUAUGGCUGCUGCUAUGUGCUGUGACCAGAGAAUCAGAGUUCUCUUUACUUCUUACCAGCCAACCUCUUGAAAAUGCCUUUUUGUUUUUUGUUUUUUUUUGAGACGGAGUCUCGCUCUGUUGCCCAGGCAGUGCAGUGGCUCACUGCAACCUCCGCCUCCUGAGUUCAAGUGAUUCUCCUGCCUCAGCCUCACAAGUAGGUGGGAUUACAGGCAUGUGCCACCACGCCCAGCUAAUUUUGUAUUUUUAGUAGUGACGGGGUUUCUCCAUGUUGGUCAGGUUGGUCUCAAACUCUCGACCUCAGGUGAUCCACCUGUCUCAGCCUCCCAAAGUGCUGGGAUUACAGACGUUAGCCAGAGCGCCCAGUCUAAGCCCUUUAUAGCUUAAUUCUAUAUAUUAAAUUUUCCCAGUUCAAAUUACUGUGUGCUUCCCUUCUCCUGAUUGGACCUUGCUUGAUACAAAAUUAGUACAAGGAGUGGUCUCAAGAGAUAGAUGCACAAAGAAGGGAUAUGGGGACGGAUUUGGGUAUUUGGGCUUGAGUGCAGACUGAGCUCCUUGACAAUGAGAAAUAGGAUAUGUAUUAGGG